CCUACGGGUGGCAGCAUUGGGGAAUAUUUGUCCAUGGGGGGAACCCUGAUCCCGCGACGCCGCGUGCGUGAAGAAGUAUUUCGGUAUGUAAAGCUCUAUCAGCAGGGAAGAAAAUGACGGUACCUGACUAAGAAGCCCCGGCUAACUACGUGCCAGCAGCCGCGGUAAUACGUCGGGGGCAAGCGUUAUCCGGAUUUACUGGGUGUAAAGGGAGUGUAUACGGUGCAGCAAGUCUGAUGUGAAAGGUCGGGGCCCAACCCCGGGACUGCAUUGGAAACUGUUGAACUGGAGUACAGGUGAGGUAAGCGGAAUUCCUGGUGUAGCGGUGAAAUGCGUAGAUAUUAGAAGGAACACCAGUGGCGAAGGCGGCUUACUGGACUGUAACUGACGUUGAGGCUCGAAAGCGUGGGGAGCAAACAGGAUUAGAUACCCGAGUAGUC
rnacentral:rRNA from 1 species